GUGGUGAUGAUAGUGAGGAAGAUCACCAAGAAGUUCAUAAAAGUGUUAAAUAUCCAAAAAGCAAUGUCCUCCGCAAUAUAUUGCACCACUAUCCAUGAAUAGAAUUGCUAAUUUAGCAAGGAAGAAUCGAGUGACCGCUUCAAAUGCCUCCAAAGAGUUUCCAUUGGAUUUAAAUGUCACGAAAGAGAAUCAACGUAGGUCAA